ensembl:lncRNA
CAUCCCCGGAGCCUGACUGCAGAAGCCUAAGGCCCUGGAAACCAGCAAGUUGGCUACUAAAGGUGCCAAGAUUGGAGUCGGGGAGACGCCCAAGACACAUCGACACGUUAGGGCAGGUGCAGGUGUCUGCUGUGAAGGAGGCGGCAGAGACAAGGACCCAGAGGGAUGGAAGAAGGCGUUUCUGCUCAGGUGAGACGAGGGCAUCAGGGUCCAGACCUGCCAGGAACGUG